UGGUUGAGAGUACAUUGAACACCUGUUCUGAAAGGAACCAGAGGUGAGUGGAGGCUUAACGUAUGGCUCCUAUCCUCUUCAGUUUGGGGGAAACGUGCCAUAUACAUGUAUGUACUUAUGUCAUAUACACAUAUAUAUCCUAUAUUCCAGUAUAGAGUAUGGAGCUAAUCAGAGUUAACAUGUUCUUUUCUAAGUACUUCAGAUAGAAUUAACUCAUCUAAUCCUCUCAACAACCCUGAGGUAAAAUGUAUGUGUAUGC